rfam:Agrilus planipennis Contig25074, whole genome shotgun sequence.
ACAUAGCCUAGAGGUUUAGACCAUUGCUUAGCAUUCGAGAAAACACCGAUCGCCUGAAGAGGACCUUAAUUGGUCCUAGAACGGCCUGAGGUAGAGGGGUUUUAGUCGGUAGGUCCGAGGACAUCUUCCUCGGAAAUCCAACACUACCCAGUCGUACGGACGGGUGAGUGUCUUUUGAAGAUUUCCCUUCUUCCACGAAA